rnacentral:rRNA from 1 species
UUCCGGUUGAUCCCGCCGGACCUGACUGCUAUCGGAUUGAUACUAAGCCAUGCGAGUCUUUGUAGUAAUACAAGGCAGACGGCUCAGUAACACGUAGUCAACCUACCCUAUGGACAAGAAUAAUCUCGGGAAACUGGGCAUAAUUCUUGAUAGAUCAUAAUGCCUGGAAUGGUUUAUGGUUAAAAUGAUUCGUCGCCAUAGGAUGGGACUGCGGCCUAUCAGCUUGUUGGUGAGGUAAUGGCCCACCAAGGCGAUUACAGGUACGGGCUCUGAGAGGAGAAGCCCGGAGAUGGGUACUGAGACACGGACCCAGGCCCUAUGGGGCGCAGCAGGCGAGAAAACUUUGCAAUGUGCGAAAGCACGACAAGGUUAAUCCGAGUGAUUUCUGCUAAAGAAAUCUUUUGCCAGUCAUAAAACCACUGGUGAAUAAGGGGUGGGCAAGUUCUGGUGUCAGCCGCCGCGGUAAAACCAGCACCUCAAGUGGUCAGGAUGAUUAUUGGGCCUAAAGCAUCCGUAGCCGGCUUUGUUAGUUUUCGGUUAAGUCCAUGUGCUCAACGCAUGGGCUGCCGAAAAUACUGCAUAGCUAGGGGGUGGGAGAGGUAGACGGUACUCAGUAGGAAGGGGU